GUGUCAGCCGCCGCGGUAAUACCAGCACCCCGAGUGGUCGGGAUGAUUAUUGGGCCUAAAGCAUCCGUAGCCGGUAUAAUAAGUCCUCCGUUAAAUCCGCCUUCUUAACAGGUGGGCUGCGGAGGAUACUGUUACACUAGGAGGCGGGAGAGGCGAGGGGUAUUCCAGGGGUAGGGGUAAAAUCCUCUGAUCCGUGGAGGACCACCAGUGGCGAAGGCGCCUCGCCAGAACGCGCUCGACGGUGAGGGAUGAAAGCUGGGGGAGCAACCCGGAUUAGAUACCCGGGUAGUCCCAGCCGUAAACGAUGUAGGCUCGGUGAUGGACUGGCUCCGAGCCAGUCCAGUGCCGCAGGGAAGCCGUUAAGCCUACCGCCUGGGGAGUACGGCCGCAAGGCUGAAACUCAAAGGAAUUGACGGGG
rnacentral:rRNA from 1 species